rnacentral:rRNA from 1 species
CUUACAGGUUGACGGCGUCCUCGCCCGGUUAAAAAACAUAGGUAGCCGCAAGCCCGAAAGGGUGUGUACGGCUGCUGAAUCCUGGCCAGUGCCGGUACCUAAAACCCGGGUCCAACCGGGCUAAGGGCCGGUAAACGCCGGGAGUAACUCUGACUCUCUCAACGGAGCCGCCUCGCCGUCGAAUAGAUUUAAGAGAGUUCUGAUGGUAUGAACAUGGUAGUGUUGAGUGAGGAUUAUACGAAAGGAUAUGUUUCAGGUUUUAUAGACGCUGAUGGAAGCUUCUCGGUAAGCAUCAAGGUUCAGAGAGAUGUCCGCUAUGGUGUCAGAAUAGACCCGGUGUUUAGCGUGACCCAGAGAAACAGGGAAGUUCUAGAAUUUCUUAGAAGAGCUUUAGGCUGUGGUAGGAUUAUUAAGAAGCCCGGUCAGGAAAACUUAUGGCUGUAUAUCGUGGAUAGGGUCGAGGAGCUUAACGGUAAGCUACUGCGGUUUCUAGAAGAUGGAUGCCGGCUGAUCGUUAAGGAUAGGCAGUUGAAGCUCUUUACCGAAAUAGUAAAGGGGCUUAUCGAGAAGCAACACUAUAGUUAUGAAGGAAUUAAACAGCUUGUUCAUCUAUCUUAUGAGCUUUCAUCUUUAGGCGGUAAAGCCGUAAGGCGUAGAAGCCUGAACGAGGUUCUCACGAUAAUAGAGGAAUAUGAGAUGAGACGGCGGGACGCUCCGGGAGAAAGGUAGCCAAAUGCCUUGUCGGAUGACAUCCGACGUGCAUGAAUGGAUCAACGAGGGCCCCGCUGUCCCCACCCGGGACCCGGUGAAGCUACCUGGUGGUGAAAAGUCCACCGUCCCCCAGCGGGGUGAGAAGUCCCCGUGGAGCUUUACUGCAGCCUGUUGUUGGGGUAUGGCUGUGGAUGCGUAGGGUAGGUGGGAGCCUUUGAGCCAGCCCUUCCGGGGGCUGGGGAGGCGCCGAUGAAACACCACCCUUCCACGGCUGUACCCCUAACCUGGGUGCCAAACCCGGGGACAGCAGCAGGUGGGCAGUUUGCCUGGGGCGGCGCCCCCUUGAAAAGAUAUCGAGGGGGCCCUAAGGCCAGCUCAGGCGGGUCGGAAACCCGCCGUAGAGGGCAAGGCCAAAAGCUGGCCUGACUGGGUCCUUCACAGUAAGGGACCCAGGGGUGAAAGCCGGGCCUAGCGAUCCUCCAUGACCCCACUGGUGGGGGCUGGAGGUGACAGAAAAGUUACCCCGGGAAUAAUUGGCUUGUCGCGGGCGAGAGUUCACAUCGACCUCGCGGCUUGGUACGCCGUCGUCGUCCCUUCCCAUCCUGGCGGUGCAUAAGCCGCCAAGGGUGAGUCUGCUCGCCUAUUAAAGGGGAAUGCGAGAUGGGUUUAGACCGUCGUGAGACAGGUCGGACUCUACCUGCUGGGGGUGCUGGCCGCCUGAGGGGAGCCCGUCCUCAGUACGAAAGGAACGGGGCGGGGUGGCCUCUGGUGUACCAGCUGUCCGGUAGGGCAAGCUGGGCAGCCACGCCGCUGGGGAUAAGGGCUGAAGGCAUCUAAGCCCGAAGCCCCUCCCGAAAAUAGGCGGCCAUUCCUAGGCGUAGGAGGCCCGGCGACGGGUCUCAUGCCUAGGACGAGGGCUGGGGUAGAACACCCCGUUGA